CGCGUCUCCAAGCCGCACUCGCUAACAAGGACGCACAGCUCACUGCACUAAACGAAUCCAUUCAAUCGAAGACAACAGAAGUGAACAACUUGAGGGACAAGAUCACCAGCCUGGAGGCCGCAGUCAGCUCCGUCUCUGAAGAAAAACUACAGAACGAGAAUAAAUCGGAGAGCCUACGAGUACAAUUAGCAGAACGAGUGCAAG